CCUACGGGCGGCAGCAGUGAGGAAUAUUGGUCAAUGGCCGGAAGGCUGAACCAGCCAAGCCGCGUGAAGGACGAAGGUGCCAAGCAUUGUAAACUUCUUUUGUCAAGGGACAAAAUCAGGCUCGAGAGCCUGACCGAGGGUACUUGAAGAAAAAGCAUCGGCUAACUCCGUGCCAGCAGCCGCGGUAAUACGGAGGAUGCGAGCGUUAUCCGGAUUUAUUGGGUUUAAAGGGUGCGUAGGCGGGCUGUUAAGUCAGCGGUAAAAGUCCGGGGCUCAACCCCGGCGAGCCGUUGAAACUGGCUGUCUUGAGAUGUCGAGAGGUAUGCGGAAUGCGCAGUGUAGCGGUGAAAUGCUUAGAUAUUGCGCAGAACUACGAUUGCGAAGGCAGCAUACCGGCGGCGAUCUGACGCUGAGGCACGAAAGCGUGGGUAUCGAACAGGAUUAGAUACCCUUGUAGUC
rnacentral:rRNA from 1 species